GCCACGUCAUCGAAAAGGUUAAUUACAAAUUAAUUACUUCGGUGGGAGCUUAUAAUUCCCAAUCAGUUCUAGCUCAAAAAUGCAUGACCUGUGGGCUAUGGUCACCCCAAAUAUGAGUUGAUCGGAAGUUCCGGCGAGUGUUUGUGUGUGUGUGCUGGUGCUCUUGGACAGAUCAAUGGAUAUGAAUGGAGGUGGAACUGGACUCCAGGAUGCAGUGCAUCAAGAUCCUGUCCAGUUCUAGCUAGAAAUGGAUGGUAUGGUCACUGGAAAAACAGUUGACCGGAAGUUCCAGCGAAGGAUUGUGUGCUUUUGGACAGAUCACUGGAUAAAUAUGGAUCGAUAUGAAGCUUUUGCAAAGAUUACUGGAUAUAUAUACGGAGGUGUCAUCAUUCAAGGCUCCAGAGCAUCGAAAAUGUCUUCAGAUUUUUUCAAAAACCCGAUUUUUAGUCCGGUUUUUCAGUCGUAGUUCAGCCAAAUAAAAACGUACAGCUAAAAGACCGACUGUUUUGAGCAGCUGGCUUCCUUUGCUAACGAUCCCUCUCACUUUAGGGAAAAUGCAUUUUUUGACCCAUUUUCGCAUUUUUUUUUGUAAUGGGGUGCAUCAGGAUUUUUUGGAAUUCAGAUUUUGGCGAAA